CCCUCCGGCACCGCGGUCCCCACGGCCUGGGCCCAGGGGGCGACCGGCGCUGGGGGACACGGACACGCGGGCUCGUCCGCUCCGGCCGCAGAGGCCGAGCCACACAGACACCGGAACCGGAAGCGAGUCCUGCCCCAGCGUGACGGCACCGUGACGUGGGCUUUGCUGGAAGUUCUCGGGGCUGGAAGCACGUCGGGUCCCGACACAGCAAACCAGCGCCCUCCGCCUGCACGGGCCGUCGGCUGCCUGGGCGCAGAAACCGGCACAAACCAGAAGCCCUCCCACAAACCUGCCCCCCUGCAGCUUUGAGUCCGCCCGCCUCACUCUGCCCUGCAGCUCAGCCCAGGCGAGAGCCUUCACGCCGGGAGGCAGCUGCAGCCGGAGGGGAGAAAAGGAGAGGGGCCACCCACUGUCCCAAUGUCCCUGGCACACAGGUGCUCAUGUCCCCACAGGCCACAGCGGCGACCAGAGGGUGCCCUCAGUGCCAGGAGGUGCCGGAGCGCACGCGGGGGCAGAGCAGGGCUGGAGCGUGGGUGACAUCUCAAGUCGUGUCACCGCUGGCGGUGUGGCCAGGGUGACCGAGGAUCCCGUCACGGCUCGUCGGUGCCGGGCCAGCGGCUCAGCAAGCACAGUGAGGGGGGAGGAGAGCCAGCUGCCUCAGCCUGCACGACCCCGUGCGGUGGAAACCCCCCCCCCCCCGCCCCCCGCACCAGCCCUCCGGGCACCGGGACACUCGGUCAUGUGACAGGGGACAGCAUCAACGUGGAGAAACCCAGAGCCGCUGUGGGUGCAAACCACACGCCUCCAUGUGGUAGGACACCCAUGGAAAAUAGUAACAGAGGAAAAGAUGAAGCAGGUCGGAGUGACUCAGAAAUGUGUAAGAUCUACCCGGAAACGGCAAACCUUCCUACAUCAGUCAGUAAAUGUAAGAAAAGUUCUCUUGUAAGAUAUCACACAGCUUUUGAUCAGAACCAGUCAGAUCCUAAAA